UCUGGUGACAAUGGCAAGGAGGUCACACCUGUUCCCAUGCCGAACACAGAAGUUAAGCUCCUUAGCGCCGAUGGUAG
rnacentral:rRNA from 1 species